ACACUGGGGGCGUCCGUGAUGCGGACUGAGAUUGUACUCCGUAACCUGAUCUGGGUCAUACCAGCGUAGGGAAGUGGUUGUA
rnacentral:ncRNA from 1 species